GGCGAACGGGUGAGUAAUGCGUGACCGACCUGCCCCAUACACCGGAAUAGCUCCUGGAAACGGGUGGUAAUGCCGGAUGCUCCAGUUGAUCGCAUGGUCUUCUGGGAAAGCUUUCGCGGUAUGGGAUGGGGUCGCGUCCUAUCAGCUUGACGGCGGGGUAACGGCCCACCGUGGCUUCGACGGGUAGCCGGCCUGAGAGGGCGACCGGCCACAUUGGGACUGAGAUACGGCCCAGACUCC
rnacentral:rRNA from 1 species